AUGGAAAGAAUAAAAUAAAUCUCUCCCCCACCUCCCUCUGCAAUCCUCGCCGAACGCCCCCAUCUCUCGUGUCUCUCCUCUCUGAACCCUCACCCUCGUGUCGUUUGUCUCUCCCAACCGCAUCGCUCGUUCCGCUUGCAUCGCUCCUCCCACUGGACGUAGUCGCCAACAUCACUUCAUGCCUCUCCAACUGCAGACCCGUGCGACUGGAAACCCACACCUCGUCGUCUCUCCCUUCGCACCGCCUUUAGCCGUGGUGCUUCUAUCACAAACGCCACGUGUCGCACCUCUGAAAGGUUCCAGGCACGUCGAUUUGUGCGUCCGUGCCGUCAGCUUCUUCCGCCAGUUAGCCACUACUUUCCAGUGCCCAGUCACUUCCUUCCCCGUUGCCAUUUACCGGAUCUCGCAUUGUAGUGGAGUUUUGGGUAAACUUUGGGUUUUUUGGAUUUGGGUUUGGGAAACUGUUGAAGCGACUGUGCAGGGUUCGAGCUUGUUUUCGACAAGUGUUUUGGAAUUUAUUAAAGGAUUUUAUUCAAGAUAAAAUAAAGUUUGGACUGCUGAACAUCUGGACCUAAUUUUGAGGUAAGUAAUCUUACUACUGGAAAAUGUUCACGGGCCAAACACUAGGUGUAUGCUAGUAAGAUACGUUGAUAGUAUGACUGAUUAGUAACAUGAUUGGUUGAUAGUAUGAUUGAUGUACGUCUUCUUCGAUAUGAGGACCGGAGGGAUUAAAUGUGCAUAUAUAUUUGAUUUCUAGCAUGAGAUAAACAUGUGUUAUUCUAUGAGAUUAUGUUUGAGCGCUAGCAUGAAAUUAGUAUGUGUAUUCUAUGAGAUUAUGUUUGAACGCUAGCAUGAGAUGAAUAUGUGUUAUUCUAUGAGAUUAUGUUUGAACACUAGCAUGAGAUGAGUAUGUGUUAUCCUAUGAGAUUAUGUUUGAAAGCUAGCAUGGGAUGAGUAUGUGUAUUCUAUAAGAUUAUGUUUAAAUGCUAGCGUGAGAUGAGUAUAGGUUAUCCUAUGAGAUUAUAUUUGAUCUAAGAAUUUGAGGUAUAUGUACAUGUAUGUUAUAGAGCCCUGCUAUGAUGUUGCAGUAGUAGUAGCAUCCUUACUAUUAGUUGUUACCCACUAGAGGUUGUAUUUCCUUCGGGAUUCACCAGAGGUGAUGCUAUCCUUUAGGAUUCACUAGAGAUUGUGUUUCCUUCGGGAUUCAUUAGAGGUAGUGUUAUCCUUCGGGGUUUACCAGAGGUUAUGUUUCCUUCGAGAUUCACUAGAGGUGGUGUUAUCCUUCAGGAUUCACCAGAGGUUGUGUUUCUUUCGGGAUUCACUAGAGGUGGUAUCUUCUUCGGGAUCACCAGAGGUUGUGGUUCCUACGGGACUUACUAAAGGUAGUGGAUAUACUUAACUACAAUAGGAUGAGAGGUUAGUUUUGCAUGUUGAUAUGUAUCCUAUGGGGACUAGAAAGGACAUUUAUGCCCCACCAGAGGAAGGCAUCUAGAGGACAUAGAUGCCUAGUCUGACACCAGUAGUAGGGUUACUUACUGAGUAUUUUUAUACUCAUCAUUUCUCAUGUUGUUGUUUCAGGUAAGGGUAGAGGUGCAUCGACGAUUGACAAGCAGAAUCCGUGAUCCAGUUACUGGGACCAAUUUAAAUGCUUCCGUUCAUAUUCUAAUAUUUCUUUUAUGUUUUAAAUUUUCAGUUUUGAGAUUUGAGACUAUUAUGAAGUUUUGUUUUCAGAUUUAUUUGUUUCCAUUUAUGAUUGAUGGGUACCCUAUCAUUAGAUAUUAAAUAUAUGAAUUUAAUGCAAA